UNAAAGAGAUAGGAGUCGAACCUACGUCUAAAGGAUCAAAACCCUUCGC
rnacentral:tRNA from 1 species